UCCGUAGGUGAACCUGCGGAAGGAUCAUUACAGAAUGAAAGUGCUUAACUGCAUUUUUUUUACACAUGUGUUUUUCUUUUUUUUUGAAAACUUUGCUUUGGUGGGCCCAUGGCCUGCCAGAGAUUAAACUCAACCAAAUUUUUAUUUAAGUCAACUGAUUAACUAAUAGUCAAAACUUUCAACAACGGAUCUCUUGGUUCUCGCAUCGAUGAAGAACGCAGCGAAAUGCGAUAAGUAAUAUGAAUUGCAGAUAUUCGUGAAUCAUCGAAUCUUUGAACGCACAUUGCGCCCUUUGGUAUUCCAAAGGGCAUGCCUGUUUGAGCGUCAUUUCUCCCUCAAACCUUCGGGUUUGGUGUUGAGCGAUACGCUGGGUUUGCUUGAAAGAAAGGCGGAGUAUAAACUAAUGGAUAGGUUUUUUUUCCACUCAUUGGUACAAACUCCAAAAUUCUUCCAAAUUCGACCUCAAAUCAGGUAGGACUACCCGCUGAACUUAAGCAUAUCAAUAAGCGGAGGA
rnacentral:rRNA from 1 species